CGUGCCAGCAGCCGCGGUAAGACGUAGGGGGCGAGCGUUGUCCGGAAUCAUUGGGCGUAAAGAGCGUGUAGGCGGCUGAGCAAGUCAGAUGUGAAAUCCCUGGGCUUAACCCAGGAAGUGCAUUUGAAACUGUUCAGCUUGAGUAAGGAAGAGGGAAGUGGAAUUCCUGGUGUAGAGGUGAAAUUCGUAGAUAUCAGGAGGAACACCGGUGGCGAAGGCGACUUCCUGGUCCUAUACUGACGCUGAGACGCGAGAGCGUGGGGAGCAAACAGGAUUAGAUACCCUGGUAGUCCACGCCGUAAACGAUGUUCACUAGGUGUUGAGGGUAUUGACCCCUUCAGUGCCGAAGCUAACGCAUUAAGUGAACCGCCUGGGGAGUACGGUCGCAAGAUUAAAACUCGAAGGAAUUGACGGGGGCCCGCACAAGCGGUGGAGCAUGUGGUUUAAUUCGAUGCAACGCGAAGAACCUUACCUGGGCUUGACAUCCCGGGAAUCUUCUGGAAACAGGAGAGUGCCCUUCGGGGAACCCGGAGACAGGUGCUGCAUGGCUGUCGUCACUCGUGUCGUGAGAUGU
rnacentral:rRNA from 1 species